rnacentral:lncRNA from 1 species
UUGUACGCUCCCAGUGCAAAGAGCGUCAUGGAGGUGAGGAGCUUAUGACGCCUCCGAUCCACAGGUACUGAAUCUGUGUGAAAUUUGAUGGGGUUUCGAUGAAUUUAAUCGUUAUAAUUUUGGGGAAAGAUUUAAGCUCCAGUUACUUUUUUUUGUCGAUUUAUUGCUGGAUACGCUCAAUUCGCUAUAGAAGGAUUGAUUUUGGUUUCAUGAAGUAGCCGGAAGUUGGGUAGCUUCCAUGUCUGAUAGAGAGUGAACAGAUUGGAUUAUGUUCAAUGAAGUUCGUAAACUUAUCCGAAACAUUAGUUAAUUGUUUGUGAUAUUAAAAAUUCCAUCUUUGAAUAGGGCAUAAUUUUCUAUAAACUGUAUCGAUUUAGGGAGUACUGCAUGCUGGUGUUUUGUUUAUAAGAGGAUCUGUGGCGCAGGAUGCCCUAUUCUUUCUUUAUUUCAGAAAGACCUGUCUAAGGUCCACAUGAAAUUAUUUCAAAACUGUGGCUGCUUGCGCAAAAACUAUGUAGUGCAACUAUUGAUUGUCAAUCGCGAAUACUUUUCUUCUAUGGAAGCAGAAUUCUUUAGUAUAAUGCAUCAUCACGUACAGGAGUCUUUUUGAGGUCAACUGAAUCUAUUGAUCUUGAAAUGACAUCCUACGUUGCAGUCUUGGACAGUUUCACAUCUCAAUUUGCAGCAAGAUUACACUUAUAUCCAUAAUCCCAACAUCCACACCUCUUAAUAGUAAUUUUAUUGGGAAUAACAUCUACAGAAGAUGUGAUCUUUGUGCCCUUUCAGAUCAUACUUUGAUGUAUCUCAGACUAAUUUCCAGUGCAAAAUGUACAAUACACCUCAAAGCUACGGCUGCUGCCUCCUCUGCAUGAGUUACAAUAAACUUUUCUGUAUGUAACAUAAGCACUCCAUUCAUAUCAUGACAAACUGCUUUAUAUCAUGAUCACGCAUCAUUAAAUAAUGUUGCAUCUGCAUUAAUUUUGUAAAAUCCUGCUGCAAGUUUACUCCUGAGAAACUAUGUUUCCAGCAGUUGGUGCUUUGUUUGCCUCAUUCAACCUUUGAUACUCUUGCAACAAAAAAACACGUUUGUUGAUUACGUGGUGAUGAGGCAAUGAGUUCUUACAUGCAUAUAUUAAUUUGUUCUGUGUCUCCACAGAAACCAUAGGAUCGUUAAAACCUUCUGAGCAUCAUGAAACACAUUCCAUCAUCUAAAUAACCAUUCUGCAAAUGAUUCACAGUCAUCUUCAUCUACCUUUUAGCAUAGUUGGAAUCCAAACCAAACAAACAUUAAUCUAUUAAUAUUUUCCAUAACUCCACAUCUAUCAUGAAUAUUGUUUCUACAGAAAUGAUUGAAAACUAUAGUUCAAAGUGGAGCCUAGAUAUUUUGCUACAUCAGCCUGCUGAGUAAUGACCAUAAGGACUAUAGAUCAAAGUUUUGUGUAGGGUUGUUACAAAUGACUGCACUGACGUAGACAUUGUUGUCUAACAAGUAUUUUUUUUGAUAAUUUAGAUAACACUUCUCAUACAUGAAUGCUAUAAGAUCACACAUCUUGUACGUGAUUGCGACAUACACACUGAUAUCUGAAAUGUUUUAAUUGAAGGAAUAAUUGGCUCAAAUGAAAGAUAAAGAAAGUAUCUGAAAGCUUGAGAUGAAUUCUUUGAAUUGAGGGAUACUCUUUAGCACAAUUUUGAUAAUCGAAAGAAUCUGUAGGUGAAAUUUGAUAUAGACAAAUACAAAGACAAUUUUCAAAUAUCCAUACAAAGAUAUUAAAUUUUAAUGAUCUUAGACUGGUUAAUUCAUCCCUUUUAUGACCUGUGAUUAUCUAAGACAAACUACAAUGUGAGGAUAAAUUGAUCGGGGUCUUCCUUCCAUUUGUUGACUUUUCUGUUGCCAUUGGGAUCAAGUCAUGAGACAAGCCUUGCAUACUAGCAUAGAAUUCAAUUCCUGACUGGGAGACCGCUCAAAGGAUGAUUGCUGGAUAUCUUAUUAUCUCCAAGACUUGAAAUAUUGGUGCAAUAUUAAACUUCCGGUUACUUGGAAGUGUAUCUUUCCUUGCUUCUGUAAAAUAAGCAAGCUAUGGUUUUGAUAAUGUAUUGACCUCUGGUUCCUCUAUACUAUGAUUCUAGCCGUACCUUACAUACUGAUGCAGGUAACAACCACUGGUCUGCUGGAAAAAGAACUUUAAAAAGCAAUAACACUUUGACAUGUAUCUACAUAUUGUUGUUUGGUAUUUGAGUCGGCUUACGGUAAACAUGCUGGUUUUGCAGGUACAAUAAAUUAAGCAGUUUUGUGCUACCCUGCAAGCCAUUCUGAGGACAAAGUAGUUCAUAAGGUAUUUAAUACCAGCUCGAAUCAUGUGGUACAUACUUUUAUCACUAUCAAUUUGGCUCCACACACAUCUUGAUGUGAAGAUGAGACUUCACUGAGGUGUUCUGCAUGAACUUGUAUUUACGUACUCAAAUUCCUGAGAAUUAAGGACAUUAUUGUAGUGGUUGCAGGAUGAUUGUUGUUUGGUUUGUGUAGCUACACUGAUGAAAAUUAAAUAUAACCUCAAUGAUAGAAUUAUUCAAAAACUAGUACUGUCGAAUGAGCAAUCAUAGUGGUGGUG